AGAAUCAACGCUGGCGGCGUGCCUAACACAUGCAAGUCGCACGAGAAAGGGUAGCAAUACCUGAGUAAAGUGGCGCACGGGUGAGUAACACGUGAAUUAUCUACCUCCGAGUGGGGAAUAACUGAGAGAAAUCUUAGCUAAUACCGCAUAACACUUACGAGUCAAAGCAGCAAUGCGCUUGGAGAGGAGUUCGCGGCCGAUUAGUUAGUUGGCGGGGUAAUGGCCCACAAGACGAUGAUCGGUA
rnacentral:rRNA from 1 species